GACGAACGCUGGCGGCGUGCUUAACACAUGCAAGUCGAGCGGUAAGGCCCUUUCGGGGGUACACGAGCGGCGAACGGGUGAGUAACACGUGGGUGACCUGCCCUCAGCUCUGGGAUAAGCCUGGGAAACCGGGUCUAAUACUGGAUAUGACUCCAUGACGCAUGUUGUGGGGUGGAAAAGCCUUGUGCGGCUGAGGAUGGGCCCGCGGCCUAUCAGCUUGUUGGUGGGGUGANGGCCUACCAAGGCGACGACGGGUAGCCGGCCUCGAGA
rnacentral:rRNA from 1 species